rnacentral:rRNA from 1 species
CCUACGGGAGGCAGCAGUGGGGAAUAUUGCACAAUGGGGGGAACCCUGAUGCAGCGACGCCGCGUGAGUGAAGAAGUAUUUCGGUAUGUAAAGCUCUAUCAGCAGGGAAGAAAAUGACGGUACCUGACUAAGAAGCCCCGGCUAACUACGUGCCAGCAGCCGCGGUACUACGUAGGGGGCAAGCGUUAUCCGGAUUUACUGGGUGUAAAGGGAGCGCAGACGGCUGUGCAAGUCUGGAGUGAAAGGCGGGGGCCCAACCCCCGGAGUGCUCUGGAAACUGUAAAGCUGGAGUGCAGGAGAGGUAAGCGGAAUUCGGAGUGUAGCGGUGAAAUGCGUAGAUAUUAGGAGGAACACCAGUGGCGAAGGCGGCUUACUGGACUGCAACUGACGUUGAGGCUCGAAAGCGUGGGGAGCGAACAGGAUUAGAUACCCCGGUAGUC